UACAGAGGUCCCGAGCGUUGUUCGGAUUUAUUGGGCGUAAAGGGUGCGUAGGCGGCGGAGUAAGUUGGGUGUGAAAUCCCGGGGCUUAACCUCGGAAUUGCAUUCAAUACUGCUUCGCUCGAGUACUGGAGAGGAGGCUGGAAUUUACGGUGUAGCAGUGAAAUGCGUAGAUAUCGUAAGGAAGGCCGGUGGCGAAAGCGAGCCUCUGGACAGUUACUGACGCUGAUGCACGAAGGCCCAGGGGGAGCAAACGGGG
rnacentral:rRNA from 1 species